rnacentral:rRNA from 1 species
AGCGGCGGACGGGUGAGUAACGCGUGGGUAACCUGCCUCAUACAGGGGGAUAACAGUUGGAAACGGCUGCUAAUACCGCAUAAGCGCACAGUACCGCAUGGUACGGUGUGAAAAACUCCGGUGGCAUGAGAUGGACCCGCGUCUGAUUAGGUAGUUGGUGGGGUAACGGCCUACCAAGCCGACGAUCAGUAGCCGACCUGAGAGGGUGACCGGCCACAUUGGGACUGAGACACGGCCCAA